rnacentral:rRNA from 1 species
CGAACGGGUGAGUAACACGUAGGGAACCUGCCCGCGCACCGGGAAUACGCUCUGGAAACGGAGAACAAAUCCCGAUGUACAGGAAGGAGGCAUCUUCUUUCUGUGAAACAUCCUUUAGGGGAUGGGGCGCGGAUGGACCUGCGGUGCAUUAGUUGGUUGGCGGGGUAAAGGCCCACCAAGACGAUGAUGCAUAGCCGGCCUGAGAGGGCGGACGGCCACAUUGGGACUGAGACACGGCCCAGACUCCUACGGAAGGCAGCAG